UGGGAGAACAAAUUGAGUACCGAGAUGGCAAUACAUAUAUAUAUAUAUAUAUAUAUAUAUAUAAAUAUAUAUAUAUAUAUAUGUAUUGCCAUCUCGGUACUCAAUUUGUUCUCCCA